rnacentral:rRNA from 1 species
GAUGAACGCUAGCGGCAGGCUUAACACAUGCAAGUCGAGGGGUAGAGGAAGCUUGCUUCCUUGAGACCGGCGCACGGGUGCGUAACGCGUAUACAAUCUACCUUUUACAGAGGGAUAGCCCAGAGAAAUUUGGAUUAAUACCUCAUAGUAUUUUCGAAUCGCAUGGUUUGAUUAUUAAAGUUCCAACGGUAAAGAUGAGUAUGCGUCCCAUUAGCUAGAUGGUAAGGUAACGGCUUACCAUGGCAAUGAUGGGUAGGGGUCCUGAGAGGGAGAUCCCCCACACUGGUACUGAGACACGGACCAGACUCCUACGGGAGGCAGCAGUGAGGAAUAUUGGACAAUGGGCGCAAGCCUGAUCCAGCCAUGCCGCGUGCAGGAUGACGGUCCUAUGGAUUGUAAACUGCUUUUGUACAGGAAGAACACUACUUCGUGAAGUAGCUUGACGGUACUGUAAGAAUAAGGAUCGGCUAACUCCGUGCCAGCAG